UACGUAGGCAGCAAGCGUUGUUCGGAAUUACUGGGCGUAAAGAGUGUGUAGGCGGUGCUCUAAGUUCGGUGUGAAAUCUCCUGGCUUAACUGGGAGGGUGCGCUAGAUACUGGCAGGCUUGAGUAUGGGAGAGGAGAGUGGAAUUCCCGGUGUAGCGGUGAAAUGCGUAGAGAUCGGGAAGAACAUCGGUGGCGAAAGCGCUCUGCUGGACUGCAACUGACACUCAGGGACGAAAGCUAGGGGAGCGAAUGGG
rnacentral:rRNA from 1 species